AUCAAAAUACAAAAAGUAAACAAGCAUUUACUUGAUAAAAAAUCAUAAAAGUUGAAUGUUUCAAAAUUUUGACACCCAAGACUUGUGUAUUAAAAGAGGUCAUGAGAAUUAAAACAUAGAUGAAACAGUGUCGUAACGUUAUCACAGAGACGUGCUAAGAUAUUUUUAUUUUUAAAUUUAAAUUUGAUACGCAUAAGAGAUAGCGAUGGUGAGAGUGGGACUGCCCACUUAGAAUUUAAAUUUAAUUGUACGGUCCCAUUCUCUCUCUCAUAUUUUUCGUAUUCUCUUUCAAGAAGAAUAAAUUAGCGGCCCAUUGAAUAGUGUUUGUGCGUGCUUUAUGGGUUAUAACAUUUUUGUCGAUCCUCAGCUCGACUCAAAAGUCAUGAAUUGCAAAGCCAAUGUAACAGAAGACAAUGGGGUAAUGACUAAUUAAGUAUUUAUGAUGAAACCUAAAUUUCUCUCCACGUGAAAGAGAAAUCAGAAAAUAGAGAGAAAUUAAAGCGAGAAAAGAUUCCUCUCCACGUGACAACAAACGUUGAAAUGUUUUUGCUAUUCCUCUCCACUCGUUUCUGAUCUUUUAACUUGAAUUAAAUUUUGUCGAUCUCGCUGCAAAAAUUAUCUUCCAAGAUGAAGAAAUCAGUGGCCCAUCGGUUAAUUGUGCGUGCUUUAUGGGUUAUACACAUUUUUGUCAAUAGUCAACCCAACUCAGAAAUUACAUGUUGCGAAGUCAAUGAAAGAGAAGUCAAAGUCAAUGAAAACAAAGACAGCAAGACAUUGACUAAUCAUAAUAUGGUGGGACACUUAAGUAUCAUUUGGGAUUAAAGUAGAAAUUUAAUAAAUUUCUUAUUUCAUAAUUCUUUAUAAAAAUAAUAUUUAAUAAAUUUUAUAAAAAUUAUUUAUUUCAUAAUUUUUUUUAUUUUACUACAAUUUUUAAAAACAAGUUGAGAUUUACUUUUCAAAAAUAACUUAAAAUAAGCCACCACAAUUUUUCAAAGUUUCUGUUAUAACAUUAAUAAUUUAACAAAAAAGAUAAUUAUAUCUUAUUUUUUCAUACACUUUAGUACAUAAGUUAUUAGUAUCAUAUUACCACCACAAUUUACUAUCGCAAGUAAUUUGAGUUCUCUCCAGUAUCAAAAUUUUGAUUUUAUUAAGUUCAUAUUUUUUAUAUUUUAAUAUUUUUUUCUUUUGUAAAAUUAAUGAGACUUGUACAUGAUUACACAAAUUUUUUUAAACAAUGAACAAGUUCAUGUGAAAGUUAACCAUAAGUCUUAAAAUCAAAUUCAUGAUUAUAGUUUUUAACGUUCAAUCUAUUUAUAUUUUUUCUAUAGUCACGGUAUUCAUUGCAACAAGUUGAUUAUCUGCUUUUAAGAGUCUUGUUACAAUUUCCUUUGCAUUGAUUCUCCGCUUUGGUGAUUCCACAGUAACGCUCUAUAGCGAAAUUGAAGACAAAUGACAUGAACUUAGCAAUUUUGCACCAACAACUUCCAUAAUUGAAUUGGGUAGCAUAUUAUUAACCCAACGCUUUAAUGUCAUUUUUCCAUGAAAAAUUUCAUCUGUGGGUUUCUUCCCAUUGAAUGUUUCCAUUAUCAUUAUCUCAAAGUUGUAAACAUCCCCAUUUGUGGAUGCCUAUCCUUCUCUUCCAUACUGUAUGGAUUUCAACAAUUACAUGGAAAGAUAAAAUAAUUAACAAUAGCAUGCUCAAAUGAAGAUCGUAAAAAUAAAUAACAUAUCAUAAAGUAUUAAAGAAAUAAAAAAAUUAAUGUAGAACAAACUCAGUGGUGGCAAGUGUUUGUGUUUGAGUUAAUGAUUAAUCUUCUCUGAGUAAGAGCUUUGCCAUGCCAAAAUCACUCAAAAUGAGCAACCAUAUUAUCGUCUAGCAAUACAUUACUCAGCUUUAAAUCACAGUGAAUUAUAGGUGUUGUAUGACCAAAGUGUAGAUAUUCCAAAACUAAUGCAAUAUCUAUCAUUAUGUUUAAUCUUUGAAAAAUAUCCAAAAUGUACUUGCUUGUAUACAAACACUUACCCAGACUUGCAUGACGCAUGUAUUUUAAUACCAACGCUUUAAAACCAUCAUUUGAACAACUGCUAAUGAUUUUGAUAAGGUUUUGAUGGCAAAUACUUUUUAUCAUAUCGUAUUCAACAUCAAGACUCUUAAAUGCUCCUCCAUAUGAAUCUUUUCUUCUCGCGUAUUGAAAGAAAAUUUAUAUUUUUGAGAUUUUAAAGUUUUUCUAAUGAUAUAAGAGUAGCCUCGGAGAAAUUAUUAUUGGAUAAAUCCAAAGAUUUCAAGCUUGUCAAAUCAUCAAUAGAAUCAAGAAUUGAGCCUUGAAAUAUAAUAUAUUCGGAAAAGAGGUAUAGUACAUCUUUUAGGUCUCUAAUUGUAGUUGGGAUAACACCAGAAAAAUUAUUCAUCGACAAAUUUAUUCUUCACAAAACCUUCAAAUUUCCAAUCUCUAAAGGAAGUGGACCAGUAAAAACAUUUAAAGACAAGGUCCAAUAUGUCUUCCACAAAGUUGAAGGAAUAGAAGUCAACUCAUUGAAACCCAAAUAAAGACUGUCCCCCCCUGAUGCAGAGCAAGAAAUUGAAGAAAUCUUAAUUAUAUUUAAAUGUAUAAUAUUUAGGAAUAUUUUAAUUAAUUUGUAUUCUAGUUUAAUUUGGUUUCCUAUUUAGAGUCUUAUUGUUUAGGUAUUGCUUAUUUGGGUAAUAUUCCUAAUUUAGGCAUAAGUCUUAUUAAAAUAGGUUUUUUAAUCAUAUUAGGAUAAGUCUUACUUAAUAUAAAUAAGUGUCUUUUGUAGCUUUUACAAGCAGAGAAUUUUGAGUUUAAUAAUAUUUCAAUUUUCAAAUCUCUUUGUGAGUAUUUGAACAAUUAAUCCUCGGUAUUCUGCGGAAUCAACGAGUCUUAACCCCUAAAUUCGCGGUAUUCUUUUGAAUCAACGUGAAUUUAGUUGUUUUUUUGUUCCGGUAUUCUUUAGAAUCAACAGAAUAUUUUGAACAUUAAACUUCCGCUACAUCAGUUUAGUAUCAAAGCCAAAACCUGGUCUCACCAAUCUAACUCCAUCUACCACCAAACCUUUCCUUUUUUCCUUUUUUGUUUUUUUUUUCCAUUUAGUUUUAAAAAAAAACCCAAACAACACCAAAAAAAGCAUAGGAAAAAAAAAGAAAAAAAUUAUAUCAUGAAAUCACAACAUCGACGUGAAGAUUUCAUCUUGAGAAAUGUUUUAGUUAAGAUGUUGAGGAUUUUGCGUUCAAUUUCUCAAGAUUUAGAGAAAAUUCGAGAUAGAAAAUCUUUACACAUAAAGCAUGCAUAUGGAUUUGAUGAAGUUGUUCACGAUGAUGUUUGUUAUGAAGAUAAUGAGGAAAAUUGUAACUUUGUUCCUUUCGACAAUAUUAUUCCUUCCGAGGAGAAUAUUAAUUGGCCAUUCAUGUCUACAACAAAUCCUCAACACAAAGACAAUAUUGAUUUGGAUCAAUCGCCGAAAUUUGAUGAGUAUCUUGAUAUUGUGGGACGAGAAGAGGUAAUUGUUUAUCCAUCUUUUGAUCUUGUGGAGGAGAGAGAGAUAGUUGUUGAUACAAUCUCUUAUUGUUCUCUUGAUUUGCUGAAAGAAGACAAAAAGAGUUGUGAUAUUUUUCAACAGUUAGUGGAUUAUGAGAAGAAAUCAUUUCUCCUUAACUAUGUUGAAGUUCGACACGAACAAUACGAGAAGACAUUAUUGGAGAAGUUGUUGAUAGAAGAAUUUAUUUUACGCCAUUGGAGUGAUUGGAUGGACGUUAUAACAAAAGUUGGAAAAUUUAAAGUUUGUCAUCUAUGUCAAAGCUCUGUUUUAAAAAUUAAUCCUUAUGCACAUGAAGAUGUUCUUGAAGACUACAACAUACAAAAUUCAAGGACGAAUUUUCUCCAACCUGGCGGGAAUGAUGCAGAGCAAGAAAUUGAAGAAAUCCUAAUUAUAUUUAAAUGUAUAAUAUUUAGGAAUAUUUUAAUUAAUUUGUAUUCUAGUUUAAUUUGGUUUCCUAUUUAGAGUCUUAUUGUUUAGGUAUUGUUUAUUUGGGUAAUAUUCCUAAUUUAGGCAUAAGUCUUAUUAAAAUAGGUUUUCUAAUCAUAUUAGGAUAAGUCUUACUUAAUAUAAAUAAGUGUCUUUUGUAGCUUUUACAAGCAGAGAAUUUUGAGUUUAAUAAUAUUUCAAUUUUCAAAUCUCUUUGUGAGUAUUUGAACAAUUAAUUCUUGGUAUUCUGCGGAAUCAACGAGUCUUAACCCCUAAAUUCGCGGUAUUCUUUUGAAUCAACAUGAAUUUAGUUGUUCUUUUGUUCCGGUAUUCUCUAGAAUCAACGGAAUAUUUUGAACAUUAAACUUCCGCUGCAUCACCCCCCCCCCCGGGGCACCAAAUAGAGGUUCCUUAGAGAAGUGAGAUUGCUGAAGCACGUAGGGAUGGAUCCUGAAAGUUUAUUGCCGUUUAAGUCCAGCUAAAAUAAGGCAGUCAAACGACAUCAAAUGUCUGGAAUUGAUCCUUCCAAUUGAUUAUCUUGAAAACUCAAUAAUCGAAUAUUUUUUAAUUUGCGGAGAGUAAUCAGAAUUGACUCAUUCGAUUUAUUGCCUUUUAAAUAAGUUGCUAUUAAGUUGGUCAAGCUGUUGAUCUCCUCAGGAACGCCGCCACUAAUAUUACAGUUGAACAACGAUAAGACUUCCAAAGAUUGAUAAAGAUUGCCUAUAGCUCUUAAAAGAUUGCCAUCUAGUGGAUUAUUGGAGAAGCUAAAAAACUCCAUAUGCUUGCAAGAUGAAAUGUGUGGUAUACUGCAUUACAGGAAGAAUGCAAGAGAUUCAUAUUUGUAAUGCUGGAUUAAACUGAAUAUAUGAUUAGAUAAGAUUGUAUUAGAGCAAAUUAGAUAGGAUUUGACUAAAUUAUUUAUAGUGGGUUUGGAUGAAUUCAUAGAUAAUUUAUAAAUAAAAUUAAAUAAUUGGAAAAUACUAAUAUAAAUUCAAUUAUUUAUCUCAAAACAUUUUAUUAAUAAUGGCAAAGUGUUAUAAAUAUACAUUUUUAUUCAUGAAAUUAAUAUUCACAAUAUUAAUUAAAAUUAUUAAAAAUAUACAAGUUUAAGUUUAAUUAUAGUUGGAAUAAAAUUUGUCAAAAUAAUCUAAGGAUUUUGAUCAAAAGAGUGGUGUCAUUGACCGCCUUAUGGAGAGUAACAUUGCACAUGUCGAACUCUAAUUAGGAAACAUGUGAAGUGGGUCGACUCACAACUCUCUGAAUAAUAGUUGAAUACAUGCAGUGUCCCUCUCCAUAAAAAUUAAAGAAAUUUUUAUGUUAUUAUUUUACUUUUAGGAUUAAUUUGAUAAAUUAAAUUUUUAUAUACAAUUAUUAGUAAGAUUAUUGUAAUGAUAUUAAAUAUUACUUUCAGUUAGUUGAUAUUAAUUUAUUUAAAAAUAGUUAUUUGUCAUAUUCUAGUUAAAGUACAAAAAAAAACUAUUUCUUUCAUACUGAUAUUUAUUGAUUAAUUUGGUAAUUAAUAAUUAGUUAACUUGCUAUUAAAUUUUUUUGAUAAAUUAAUUAAUAUUAAGAAUAUUGUUGAUAGGGUAGCAUUAUAAAGGUAAAGAUAAGAAUAUAAUAUAUUUAAUAAUAAUAGUAUAUUGAAGUACUUUUUAAAAUAUAAAAAUUAAAUGAGUAUUUAAAUCAAAAUACAAAAAGUAAACAAGCAUUUACUUGAUAAAAAAUCAUAAAAAUUGAAUGUUUCAAAAUUUUGACACCCAAGACUUAUCUAUUAAAAGUGGUCAUGAGAAUUAAAACUUAAAUGAAACAGUGUCGUAACGUUAUCACAUAGACGUGCUGAGAUUUUCUUAUUUUCAAAUUUAAAUUUGACACGCAUAAGAGAUAGCGAUGGUGGAAGUGGGACUGCCCACUUGAAAUUUAAAUUUAAUUACACGGUCCCAUUCUCUCUCUCAUAUUCUUCGUAUUCUCUUUCAAGAAGAAUAAAUUAGCGGCCCAUUGAAUAGUGUUUAUGCGUGCUUUAUGGGUUAUAACAUUUUUGUCGAUCCUUAGCUCGACUCAAAAGUCAUGAAUUGCAAAGCCAAUGGAACAGAAGACAAUCGGGUAAUGACUAAUUAAGUAUUUAUGAUGGAGUGACACUCGGAAGUGCUUCUAAGUAUUUAUGAUGAAACCUAAAUUUCUCUCCACGUGAAAGAGAAAAAUCAGAAAAUAGAGGAGAGAAAUUAAAGCGAGAAAAGAUUCCUCUCCACGUAACAACAAACGUUGAAAUGUUUUUGCUCUUCGUUUGAUGCUUCGAGGAUUCACAGGUGCCGAUAAGUCCAACAAAAUUCCGCGGCUUGAAUUGUAUUUGUUAGGGGCACUCGUUUCUGAUCUUUUAACUUGAAUUAAAUUUUGUCGAUCUCGCUGCAAAAAUUAUCUUCCAAGAUGAAGAAAUCAAUGAAAGAGAAGUCAAAGUCAAUGAAAGCAAAGACGAUAAGACAUUGAUUAAUCAUAGUCCCAUUGGGAUUAUAGUAGAAAUUUGAUAAAUUUUG
rnacentral:lncRNA from 1 species